GGUCGCCAUGACAACAAGCCCAGCCACCUGCCGACCCCUGAGUGAUGAAUGGUCGGCUAUCUGUGCACGGCAGCCACUGCGAACACGAUGCUGAAAGGGCGACGGGGAGAUGCAAGAGGCGCCUAUCAAACUGACACGAGUCGCCUUUUCCCGCGUCCGCCAGGGGCCGGCACUCCCAGCACAGCCGUGCAGAUCUUGCCCCGAGCCCCCAGGGGUGUCAGCUCCUGGGCUAUUUGGCUCAGCUCCGUCUCCAGAGCCCAGGAAUGACAAGGAACUAACGGCCCUCUGAGCACAGGAAAGCCCUCCAGGAUUCUCCCUCCUGCUCCAUCGAUGCAGGCACCCAACAGAUGCUUAAGGGGCCGGCGCUGUGGUGCAGUUGGCUAAGCCUCUGCCUGUGGUACUGGCAUCCCAUACGGGCGACGGUCCAUGUCCCAGAUCUCCCCUUCUGACCCAGCCAUG
rnacentral:lncRNA from 1 species